AGUGAUAACUGAAUUAUUACCGUGAAUUUGAUUUUAUUAAUUCCUAUGGGAUGGUGAACACUGAGAAAAGGCAGUAAAAUUUGUUUUACAUUUGAGCUACUCCUCAUUAUAUUCUCUAAUUUCAAUGCCACCUUCAAUGUUGCACACAGGCUGAAAGAAAUCAACUUCUGUGCACACUUUUUUUUUUUUUUUUUUUGACAUGGAGUCUCGCUCUGCUGCCCAGGCUGGAGCGCAGUGGCGUUAUCUUGGCUCAUUGCAAGCUUCCCCUUCCGGAUUCACGCCAUUCUCCUGCGUCAGCUUUCUGAGUAGCUGGGAGUACGGGUGCCCGCCACCACCCCUGGCUAAUUUUUUGUAUUUUUAGUAGAGACGGGGUUUCACCGUGUUAGCCAGGAUUGUCUCCAUCUUCUGACCUCGUAAUCCACCCGCCUCGGCCUCCCAAAGUGCUGGAAUUACAGGCGUGAGCCACCGCGUCCGGCCUACGUGCACACGUUUAAACAAGAUUAUUUCUCGGCUAACAUAAGCUGGGACUAUGACAAUGGGAAUUUUAAAAAAUGAAUUAAAGACUAGAAGCACAAAAGAUUAGAGGAGAUAAGUCAUCUAUUUAAAUAUGUGCAUUUUUCCUUAAGUGGAUCUAUUUGGUCUAUCCUGUUAUAUUUCAGAAUUUUGUUACCUUUUUAAAUAUAAACUAUAUCAAAACAAGCAAAACAAGAGAGUUUCUAAAGGAGAAUUUAAGCAUUAUUUUCCUAUUCUCUGACUCUAUAAGAAUUAAUCAGCUAAUGAAUCAACUAGCUAUUAGUUAUUGUGUUCCUUUAAAGCACCCAGUUCUGCCCUUCUAUGUCUCAAUAAAAGAUAACACUGAUUUCUCCCUCAGUUUUAUUUUUGUCUUUCAGCUCUGUGCUAACUUGUGUGAGGCAUCUGUGCACAAUCCAUCCAGCUGUGAUUAAAUUCCUGGUUUCAGUGUUUGUGUGUGUGUGUUUCAAUUCAAAAAUUAAAGGCAAAUUCCUGUGGAAAGAGAUACUUGGAAAACGUCUGCAAAUCUAAAAACUCUGGACAUUUUAUAUGAAACAAGCAUAAGAAGACUCCGAAAGGUAGAGACAAGGCAGAAUUGCUGGGGAACUUGAGACCAAAGGAACAACACAUUAGUCAGUCUGAUAUCCACCACCCAGUUCUCCAGGUGGAAGAAUAAUCAAAGAGCCUUGGGGGAAAGAGGGAUUCUCAUGGUUGAAGAUGAUGAAGAUGUGAAGGCUGGAUUUGAUAAUGAAGAGUCUUCUUUGUGUUCUCUCAUUAUUUAUGCCACAUCUGCCUCUCAGCAUUUGUGUCAAUGAGUCACUGUAAUUACAGCCGUUGGAUAAUUUCCUCCGUUUUACAACACAAACCCGACUGUGUGAGUGCUCCAUCAGAGAAAAACAUUUAUUUCCUUGCAGCACCAUCAGGCAGCAAGGUCCAGCUUUCUUGAGACAUGGUUAUUAGCCAAGUCAGAACAAAUGGCUUCUGUUCUUACUCACGCUAACUGAAAGUGAGACUUGAGGAGCUUAGCUGAUUACGGAGACACAAAGGAUCAGAAUUCUUUUUUCUAUAUAAAAGCCAGAAUUUUGACUGAGGAUCUUGCUUAAAAAAUGAUUUAUGGAAAAAUGAACUAUGCUGACCCUGAAAUGGAGGGGUGGGGGUAAACUGGGGAGAAUCACACUUCACUGUUUCUGUUCACUAGUACCCCUACCCCAAAACAAAUAAGUAGCUCCUACCAUCUAGGAAGAUGUUAUAAGGCAAAAAUAUCUGGUUUAAUUAAAUGCAAAAAGAAUUCUUGAAAGUUGUAUGUAUGAUAGAACCUAGGUGUUUUCAGUCCCUGCAUCCUGUUGCUUGUUCAUAGACUAGUUCCCAAGAUGAAUUAAAAAUACUGGGUCUGGAGCAGAAACUCUCCUCUGCCAUAAGAGAGAACUAAUCUUGUAAUUCUACCACAUUGCAGGAGGAGAAAAGAGACCUUAUAUGUUAUGAUAAUCUUUUUUGAUUAAUGCUGUGGGUGUUCAUGACUGAAGAGCCAUUCAUCAUUCUAUUUGUGACUUACUAGGUAAAUUGCGAGACACUAUAAACCAGCCCUUAUUUAACUGUGUUUUAUGUUUUCUCCAGGAAAAUACAAAUUUCCAUUUCUACCCCUAGCACUGUACUACACUAAAGACUGCAAAAAGCAAAUGAGGCCACAAAGAAAUGGAAAAACAAAAAUAAUGUUAAGAUAUUUUUGAAGAUAUCCAGAGAGAAUGUUUUCCUGUUGCUAACAUGGAGGCAGUGCUUGUCUUCCACAUCUAAGUUGAAGAGGCUGGCUGUCCAUGUGAUUUGAGGUCACAUAAGAACUGACCAUAAAUGUCCAUCCUUCACUUUCACACUUUCUUAGUCCCACAAGGCUUUACCUCCAGAAUGUCAUUGUUAAAAUUCAACCUAGGAGGAUUCACAGACUAACGCCUCCACUUCCAUUAGUAUGGAUCAUUUCUGUAAUUUUCCAACUUUUCUUUUUUUCAAAACAGAUCACUUUCUCAAAAGAAAGUAUAAGGCAGAACCCUAAUACAAGUUGAGUAUCCCUAAUACAAAAAUGUGAAAUUUAAAAUGCUCCACAAUCUGAAACCUUUUGAGCACUGACAUCAUGCUCAAAAAAAUUGCAUAUUGGAGCAUUUUAGAAUUGGGGUUUUGGAUUAGGGUUGCUUAACCAGUAAGAAUAAUGCAAAUAUUCCAAAAUAAAAAAAUUUUUGAAACACUACUGAUCCCAACAUUUUGGAUAAGGUAUACUCAAUCUAUAUUAAAAAAUAAAAAGGAACGGAGAUGUUCUCUGAAAAGACCAGAUUGGAGAGUUCCCAGUUACGCUGAAAAAAUACUUCCCAGAUGUGACUGUGAGACCCAUCCAUGAGACAUUACCACUCUAUGAAACAUACUUUUAAAAGCACUGAAAUAACAUUUGGCUUGGGAAAAGAUAACUGAACCCUGUGAGAAUCCAAACUAAGUGACCAUCUUGUGGCUGGGCAAAAAGGCAGGUAGACAGGAAGGAAGGAUGAGCAGUGGAAGGUGAUGCCAAUGCGGACAGUUCUUAGUGGAAGCCACAGUAAGCCACUGGAGUUGACAUUCAACCAUUAAUGCAGGUAUUAACAGUGGAUUUUCACUAGUGUCAUGGGAAUCCUUAAGCAUUUCCAACUCCUAGUCUCAUGCCUAAGUUUUGGAUGCCAACGAUCUCUAACCCACAUGUGAUCAUCUUCCCAGGGUUUUAUGUGGUCUUUUCUAAUGUGCUAUGCUUGGAGAAAUUGAGAAAGCAACACAGAGAAGCUGCACACCAGGGAGGCAUAUUAUAAAGUAGUUUAAAUGGGAGUUUAUCCUAGCCUCAGGCCAUGCCUCACUAACAGAGAAGCAGGGAAAAAUCAAGAGAGGUAUGGUAUUUUUAGGAUGUACCCAGACAACUUUAUGUCUGAGAUAAAAAUAAAAUCUCAGAGAACUCUAAUAACCCUCAGCAACUCUCAGCAGAGCAUUAAGCUCUAAAGACCAAAAUCUUUAUUUGAUAAGUAAAGGAUAUCAGUAAAUAUUAGAAUUACUAGGUGUGUUAAAUAAAAACUGUGAACAAACAAGUUUUUUUUGUCUUCGAAAGUGGCUUGGCUUUUCUUGUUGGGAGCUCAUAAAAGCUUCCUUGUGAUCACCCCCUUUUAGGUAAGAAUUAUUCUUCAUGGUUAAAAAACAAAAAAUGUGUUUUAACUGGGGUGAUGUAGGCUAAAAUUGCUCCAAGCAAUUUUGUAUAAUGGAAUUUCAUAGUAAAAAAUUAACUACAAACCACUGACCGGG